UACGAAGGGGGCUAGCGUUGCUCGGAAUCACUGGGCGUAAAGCGCACGUAGGCGGAUUGUUAAGUCAGGGGUGAAAUCCUGGAGCUCAACUCCAGAACUGCCCUUGAUACUGGAAGCUUGAGUUCGGGAGAGGUGAGUGGAACUGCGAGUGUAGAGGUGAAAUUCGUAGAUAUUCGCAAGAACACCAGUGGCGAAGGCGGCUCACUGGCCCGAUACUGACGCUGAGGUGCGAAAGCGUGGGGAGCAAACAGG
rnacentral:rRNA from 1 species